rnacentral:rRNA from 1 species
ACGGCUCAGUAACACGUGGAUAACCUGCCCUUGGGUCCGGCAUAACUCCGGGAAACUGGAGAUAAUUCCGGAUAACGCAUAUAUGCUGGAAUGCUUUAUGCGUAAAAUGGAUUCGUCUGCCCAAGGAUGGGUCUGCGGCCUAUCAGGUAGUAGUGGGUGUAAUGUACCUACUAGCCUACGACGGGUACGGGUUGUGAGAGCAAGAGCCCGGAGAUGGAUUCUGAGACAUGAAUCCAGGCCCUACGGGGCGCAGCAGGCGCGAAAACUUUACAAUGCGGGAAACCGUGAUAAGGGGACACCGAGUGCCAGCAUCAUAUGCUGGCUGUCCAGGUGUGUAAAAUACACCUGUUAGCAAGGGCCGGGCAAGACCGGUGCCAGCCGCCGCGGUAACACCGGCGGCCCGAGUGGUGAUCGUGAUUAUUGGGUCUAAAGGGUCCGUAGCCGGUUUGGUCAGUCCUCCGGGAAAUCUGAUAGCUCAACUAUUAGGCUUUCGGAGGAUACUGCCAGACUUGGAACCGGGAGAGGUAAGAGGUACUACAGGGGUAGGAGUGAAAUCUUGUAAUCCCUGUGGGACCACCUGUGGCGAAGGCGUCUUACCAGAACGGGUUCGACGGUGAGGGACGAAAGCUGGGGGCACGAACCGGAUUAGAUACCCGGGUAGUCCCAGCCGUAAACGAUGCUCGCUAGGUGUCAGGCAUGGCGCGACCGUGUCUGGUGCCGCAGGGAAGCCGUGAAGCGAGCCACCUGGGAAGUACGGCCGCAAGGCUGAAACUUAAAGGAAUUGGCGGGGGAGCAC